CGGAGAUGUUUCUCAAAUUUCAAUGACUCUUUAUAUAAGGAUCAUACUGGUACUAUCCAGUCCAGCAUGUGUAUUUCCUUGAAAGUAGGUUAAAGCAUACUGUAGGCUACACCGGACACGUACUGGGCUCACUCAAACUUCGCGACAAUGCUUAUUAUUAUCACAAAGUUGAGUGGAUCAUUGCAGCAUGCUCAGGAAAGUGGGUUAAUCUACAAAUAACUCGUCUGUGUGUGCACAUGUUUGCUUAGAUCAUGGAUUGGCAUUGACCAUGGCAGGUUAACCCAGAUGAUAAAUAGAUUAAAUGUCUUUAUAUUAUGGCUCCUCAGCAGAUAUGCAGCACAGUAUCUGGACUGAUCAUUACCCUGAGAAAACAUCACAUCAAGCUGAGUGUGACAGUUUUGUAAGGCCUAUCCCUAGCAAAACAGAGAGAAUAAAAGGACUCAACAGCUACAGGACACCAGGAGUGCCUGUUACUUGUGCUAAUCUACCCGUGCGAAGUGUCUGAAAGCCCUGAGGAUCAUCGAGUUAUCUCUGGUCAUGUUAAGAAAAAUGCUCAAGUGGAUGAUUUCUACACUCAUGGGACUGACCAGAGAUCUACCUGCCCAGGUUGUGUCUCUACAGUGGUGAAGAAAAUGUAUGAGUCCUCAAGGGGAUCACCAAUCUGAAAUGGGGGUGAUAGCAGCACCCAGCAAAUCCAUAUCUGCCUUUGAACCAGAGACCAACUCUGGAAAAGAUGCUGAGGCAGUCCAUCCCCGACCAUCAUACUCUCGAUCGAGCUCUGGUUCCAAAGAAAGGCCCAGCAACAAUGGAUGGGGUAACUGGGUACAAGAGAGGUGCAAAAUGGAACAUUGCUACCUACAGAAGAGAUGAAGAGGCCCCAAAUCUUAAAUUAACCGUGGCUCAAAGUCAGGAGUUGAAAGGCCUCCCACUUCCCGUUACCCAGCGACUUCCUGUUACCCAGUGUGUGAGUGAACUUGCAGCUCGUCAACAAAUUAAAAUGACCUUUUACAGAAGAAGAGGGGCUGGGAUGGAGCAUGUGACAUAUACUGUGUUUCUUCAGUUCUUAAUCAUCACUGCACGAAUUCAAGACUCUAAUGGUGAGCUCUGCCUUUUUAUCCGUUUGCUCUUUAAAUGUUUUGAGAUUAUUUUUUGCAAUGAAAAGCUCUAUACAUUCUGA
ensembl:lncRNA